rnacentral:rRNA from 1 species
GAUGAACGCUGGCGGUAUGCUUAACACAUGCAAGUCGAACGGACUCUUCGGAGUUAGUGGCGGACGGGUGAGUAACGCGUGAGAAUCUGGCUUUGGGUUCGGGACAACCACUGGAAACGGUGGCUAAUACCGGAUGUGCCGAGAGGGAAAAGAGAAAUUGCCUGAAGAUGAGCUCGCGUCUGAUUAGCUAGUUGGUGAGGUAAAGGCUCACCAAGGCAGCGAUCAGUAGCUGGUCUGAGAGGAAGACCAGCCACACUGGGACUGAGACACGGCCCAGACUCCUACGGGAGGCAGCAGUGGAGAAUUUUCCGAAAGGGGCGAGAGCCUGACGGAGCAAUACCGCGUGAGAGAAGAAGGCUCUUGUGUUGUACACCUCUUUUCUUAGGGAAGAACAAAAUGACGGUACCUAAGAAAUCAGCAUCGGCUAACUCCGUG